CAGCUGUGGGGACACAGAGGCAGGACGCGGUGAUCAUCUCCACUAUGGCCUGGUCCCCUCUCCUCCUCACCCUCAUCGCUCACUACACAGGUGA
rnacentral:pre_miRNA from 1 species